GUGAGGAAUAUUGGUCAAUGGGCGGGAGCCUGAACCAGCCAAGUCGCGUGAAGGAAGAAGGAUCUAUGGUUCGUAAACUUCUUUUGCAGGGGAAUAAAGUGCAGGACGUGUCCUGUUUUGUAUGUACCCUGAGAAUAAGGAUCGGCUAACUCCGUGCCAGCAGCCGCGGUAAUACGGAGGAUCCGAGCGUUAUCCGGAUUUAUUGGGUUUAAAGGGUGCGUAGGUGGUUUGAUAAGUCAGCGGUAAAAGUUUGCAGCUUAACUGUAAAAAUGCCGUUGAAACUGUCGGACUUGAGUGUAAAUGAGGUAGGCGGAAUGCGUGGUGUAGCGGUGAAAUGCAUAGAUAUCACGCAGAACUCCGAUUGCGAAGGCAGCUUACUAAGCUACAACUGACACUGAAGCACGAAAGCGUGGGGAUCAAACAGGAUUAGAUACCCGAGUAGUCC
rnacentral:rRNA from 1 species